GACAGAGGGGGCAAGCGUUGCUCGGAAUUACUGGGCGUAAAGGGCGCGUAGGCGGGAUGGCAAGUCGGUCGUGAAAUCCUUCGGCUCAACCGAAGAACGUCGAUCGAUACUGCUGUUCUUGAGGGUUGCAGAGGAGACUGGAAUUCACGGUGUAGCAGUGAAAUGCGUAGAUAUCGUGAGGAAGACCAGUGGCGAAGGCGGGUCUCUGGACAGUUCCUGACGCUGAGGCGCGAAGGCCAGGGGAGCAAACGGG
rnacentral:rRNA from 1 species